rnacentral:snRNA from 1 species
GAGUAUUCACUGGCUGCCCUUAUACCAAACCUGGAAGACUACACAGAAGGUCAGCAUGGCCCCUGCGCAGUUGAUGACACACAAAUCCAUGAAGUAAUCCAUUUCCCA